GACAGAGGAUGCAAGCGUUAUCCGGAAUGAUUGGGCGUAAAGCGUCUGUAGGUGGCUUUUUAAGUCCGCCGUCAAAUCCCAGGGCUUCAACCCUGGACAGGCGGUGGAAACUACCAAGCUGGAGUACGGUGAGGGCAGAGGAAUUUCCGGUGGAGCGGUGAAAUGCGUAGAGAUCGGAAAGAACACCAACGGCGAAAGCACUCUGCUGGGCCGACACUGACACUGAGAGACGAAAGCUAGGGGAGCGAAUGGG
rnacentral:rRNA from 1 species